rnacentral:rRNA from 2 species
AGACCCGAAACCCGGUGAUCUAGCCAUGGGCAGGUUGAAGGUUGGGUAACACUAACUGGAGGACCGAACCGACUAAUGUUGAAAAAUUAGCGGAUGACCUGUGGCUGGGGGUGAAAGGCCAAUCAAACCGGGAGAUAGCUGGUUCUCCCCGAAAGCUAUUUAGGUAGCGCCUCGUGAAUUCAUCUCCGGGGGUAGAGCACUGUUUCGGCUAGGGGGCCAUCCCGGCUUACCAACCCGAUGCAAACUGCGAAUACCGGAGAAUGUUAUCACGGGAGACACACGGCGGGUGCUAACGUCCGUCGUGAAGAGGGAAACAACCCAGACCGCCAGCUAAGGUCCCAAAGUCAUGGUUAAGUGGGAAACGAUGUGGGAAGGCCCAGACAGCCAGGAUGUUGGCUUAGAAGCAGCCAUCAUUUAAAGAAAGCGUAAUAGCUCACUGGUCGAGUCGGCCUGCGCGGAAGAUGUAACGGGGCUAAACCAUGCACCGAAGCUGCGGCAGCGAACGUAUCACCCAAGACAACUUUACGGAGUUGACGAUUGACGGAGCGAAGCGACGUCAAAGCGUUCAUUAAAGUCGAGUUGGCUUAGGGAUACGUUCGUUGGGUAGGGGAGCGUUCUGUAAGCCUGUGAAGGUGUGUCGUGAGGCAUGCUGGAGGUAUCAGAAGUGCGAAUGCUGACAUAAGUAACGAUAAAGCGGGUGAAAAGCCCGCUCGCCGGAAGACCAAGGGUUCCUGUCCAACGUUAAUCGGGGCAGGGUGAGUCGACCCCUAAGGCGAGGCCGAAAGGCGUAGUCGAUGGGAAACGGGUUAAUAUUCCCGUACUUGGUGUUACUGCGAAGGGGGG